rnacentral:rRNA from 1 species
GGGUCAGUAGGUUGGUCGUGCCACCGGUACGUACUGGUCUCACUGAUUCCUCCUUCCUGUGGAACCGUAAUGCCAUUAAUUUGGUGUUGCGGGGAAACAGGACUGUUACUUUGAAAAAAUUAGAGUGUUUAAAGCAAGCUAACGCUUGAAUACAUUAGCAUGGAAUAAUGAAAUAGGACGAUCGAUCCUAUUUUGUUGGUUUCUAGGAUUGACGUA